AACGCGAAGAACCUUACCAGCCCUUGACAUCCCGGUCGCGGACACCAGAGAUGGAGUCUUUCAGUUCGGCUGGACCGGAGACAGGUGCUGCAUGGCUGUCGUCAGCUCGUGUCGUGAGAUGUUGGGUUAAGUCCCGCAACGAGCGCAACCCUUAUCCCUAGUUGCCAUCGGGUCAAGCCGGGCACUCUAGUGAAACUGCCUGGGAUAACCAGGAGGAAGGUGGGGAUGACGUCAAGUCCUCAUGGCCUUUAUGUCCAGGGCUACACACGUGCUACAAUGGUCGGUACAAACCGUCGCAAACCCGUGAGGGGGAGCUAAUCGGAAAAAGCCGGCCUCAGUUCGGAUUGGAGUCUGCAACUCGACUCCAUGAAGCUGGAAUCGCUAGUAAUCGCGGAUCAGAACGCCGCGGUGAAUACGUUCCCGGGCCUUGUACACACCGACGCGUA
rnacentral:rRNA from 1 species